rnacentral:rRNA from 1 species
GGUAGCAUAAUCAUUUGCUUUUUAAUUGGGAGCUGGAAUGAAAGGCUGAUCUAAUUUUGUGUUUGUACGAAUGAGUUAGAAAUUAAAGUUGAAGUAAGAAUUCUUUAAUCUUCUAGGGGACGAUAAGACCCUAGAAGCUUAACUAACGAAGUAGUGUUUAGUGUUAACUAGGUUGUUAGUUUGACUGGGGCGGUAGAAAUAAUUUAGCUAUUUAUUAAAAAGGAUCUUUUAAAUAAAGAUAAAACGGGAAAGUUACUCUAGGGAUAACAGUGCAAUAUUUUUGGAGAGACCUUAUCGAUAAAUAUGUUUGCAACCUCGAUGUUGAAUUAAAAUGUCUAAGUGACGCAGAAGRCACUAAAGAAGGUUUGU